GAUAUACAUCAGUAUUCGUCACUUACUGUUUUUCUUUAUUUGUGGUACUCAGAACAUAUGAGAAGGUACAGUAGAUGUACAUCAGUAUUCGUCACUUACUGUUUUUCUUUAUUUGUGGUACUCAGAACAUAUGAGAAGGUACAGUGGAUGUACAUCAGUAUUCGUCACUUGCUGUUUUUUAUACGACCGCAAACAAAUUUUUGUGGUCGUAUAUUGGUAUGACAUUGGCGUCGGCGUCGUCGUUGUCGUCCGAAGACACAUUAGUUUUUGCACUCUAACUUUAGUUUAAGUGAAUGGAGCUCAAUGAAAUUUUACCAUAAGGUUCAAUACCACAAAAGGAAGGUGGGGAUUGAUUUUGGGGGUUAUGGUGCCAACAGUUAAGGAAUUAGGGGCCAAAAAUAAGCAUUUUUGUAACUUCCAGACAUAACUUGUAAGUGUAUGGAUCUCUCUGACAUUGUACCACAAGGUUCCAUAUCACAAAGGGAAUGCUGGGAUUGAUUUUGGGGGUAAUUGCCUCCAAAUUUUAGGAAUUAGGGGCCAAAAAGGGGCAAAAAACAAGCAUUUUUCUAGUUUCAUGACAAUAACUUGUGUGUAAGUGUAUGGAUCUCUCUGACAUUGUUUCACAAGGUUCCAUAUCACAAAGGGAACGCUGGGAUUGAUUGUUGGGGUAAUUGCCUCCAAAUUUAAGGAAUUAGGGGCCAACAAGGGGCAAAAAAAAAGCAUUUUUCUAGUUUCAUGACAAUAACUUGUGUGUGUAAGUGUAUGGAUCUUUAUGAAAUUGUACUACAAGGUUCCAUAUCACAAAGGGAAAGCUAGAAUUGAGUUUGGGGGUAAUUGCCCAAAAAUUUUAAGAAUUAGGGGCCAAAAAGGGGCCAAAAAUAAGCAUUUUUCUAGUUUCCAGACAAUAACUUGUGUUCAAGUAUAUGGAUUUCUCUGAAAUUGUACUGCAAGGUACCAUACCACAAAGGGAAGACUGGGAUUGAUUUUGGGGGUAAUUCCCUCAAAAUUUGAGUAAUAAGGGGCCAUAAAAGGGCAAAAAAACAAGCAUUUUUCUAGUUUCAGGACAAUAACUUGUGUGUAAGUGUAUGGAUCUUUAUGAAAUUGUACUGCAAGGUUCCAUAUCACAAAGGGAAAGCUGGGUUUGAGUUUGGGGGUAAUUGCCCUAAACGUUUUGGAAUUUGGAGCCAAAAAGGGGCCAAAAAAACCAGCAUUUUUCUAGUUUCAGGACAAUAACUUGUGUGUAAGUGUAUGGAUCUUUAUGAAAUUGUACUGCAAGGUUCCAUAUCACAAAGGGAAAGCUGGGUUUGAGUUUGGGGGUAAUUGCCCUAAACGUUUAGGAAUUUGGGGCCAAAAAGGGGCUAAAAAACAAACAUUUUUCUAGUUUCCAGACAAUAACUUGUGUUUAAGUGUAUUGAUCUCUCUGAAAUUGUACUGCAAGGUACCAUACUUCAAAGGGAAAGCUGGGAUUGAGUUUGGAGGUGAUGAAUCAUAAGGGGGUUCAAAAAAUUUGGGGGGGGGAUUUUUUUUCCUUUUUUUUCUUUAAAAUUUUCCAUUUUAAAUUAGUUAUUUCUGAUAUAUAUAUAAAAGCAAAUAAUAAUGAUAUGGUUUGAAUAGGUAAAUUAAAAAUUUUAAAGUUCUUAAACCACUUUCAUACCGUGUCAGAAACCUAUGCUGUGUCAAAUAUUUAAUUACAAUCCAAAUUCAGUGCUGUAUCAAGCUUGAAUGUUGUGUCCAUACUUGCCCCAACUGUUCAGGGUUCGACCUCUGCGGUCGUAUCAAGCUGCGCCCCAGCGGAGCAUUUUAUCUCUAUUUGUGGUACUCAGAACAUAUGAGAAGGUACAGUGGAUGUACAUCAGUAUUCGUCACUUGCUGUUUUUCUUUAUUUGUGGCACUCAGAACAUAUGAGAAGGUACAGUGGAUGUACAUCAGUAUUCGUCACUUACUGUUUUUCUUUAUUUGUGGUAUUUAGAACAUAUGAGAAGGUACAGUGGAUGUACAUCAGUAUUCGUCACUUGCUGUUUUUCUUUAUUUGUGGUACUCAGAACAUAUGAGAAGGUACAGUGGAUGUACAUCAGUAUUCGUCACUUGCUGUUUUUCUUUAUUUGUGGUACUCAGAACAUAUGAGAAGAAGUUACAGUGGAUGUACAUCAGUAUUCGUCACUUGCUGUUUUACUUUAUUUGUGGUACUCAGAACAUAUGAGAAGGUACAGUGGAUGUACAUCAGUAUUCGUCACUAGCUGUAUUUCUUUAUUUGUGGUACUCAGAACAUAUGAGAAGGUACAGUGGAUGUACAUCAGUAUUCAUCACUUACUGUUUUUCUUUAUUUGUGGUACUCAGAACAUAUGAGAAGUUACAGUGGAUGUACAUCAGUAUUCGUCACUUGCUGUUUUACUUUAUUUGUGGUACUCAGAACAUAUGAGAAGGUACAGUGGAUGUACAUCAGUAUUCGUCACUAGCUGUAUUUCUUUAUUUGUGGUACUCAGAACAUAUGAGAAGGUACAGUGGAUGUACAUCAGUAUUCGUCACUUGCUGUUUUUCCCUAUAUAUUUCAUAUAAGAAGUUUGCUAUAUUAAUAUAUUUGACCAUCACAAAAAGUAAUGUUCCACAAAAAAAUAUUUCAACAUGCAAUCCAUAAAUCAUAUAAAGAAUGUCGUAGUUUGUGAAUGAUUUAUAUGUAAGUGCAAAAAUGCUCAUGAUAAUGCGACACACAGACACAAUAUAAAAAUAAGAAGAUGUGGUAUGAUUGCCAAUGAACCAGCCUGACAGAAAAAAUGAUGUAGAACUAAAAGCAACUACAGGUAACUGUACUGCCUGCAACCAUUAGCAAAACCCAUACCGCCUAGCAAGCUUUAAAAGGCCCUGACAUGACCAAUGUUAAACAAUUCAAACGAGAAAACUAAUGGUCUGAUGUAAAAAAAACUAUGAAAAUCAAAUAUGAUAUACAGCAACGAACGACAACCACUGAAUUACAGGCUCCUUACUUUGAACAGGAACAUGCUGAAAGUGGCAGUGUGUCGAACUCUCCCCUAUCCUGGCCAUGAGACAGUGGUAUGAUGGCACAAUAUUCUUAUUUAUGCAAUGUGAGGAUCAGCAUUCCCCUAAAUGUUGUGAAACAUUAAAAAAAAAUAAAAAAUUGAGGAGACAUUUUGUAGCAGAAACGUUGUUCCUCGUAUCUAUAUUAUGGAGAUGUUAAAUUAUUCUAUAAAGGUACAAAGUUUCAAGUUUCAAUAAAAACGUGGCUGAAAAUCUGAAUAUAAACCGUCAAACAGCAUUCUUUGAAAAUACCAUUGACAAAUUAUUAUUGAAUUACAGAGUAGAGCAAGUGAUUCUGAUAACAAUAGCAUUACCAAUUUUGCUUCGCCAGAUGUGUAUUUCACCGAUUAUUGUCUUCGGUGAUGUUCUAUGCUAAACUUUUUGAAAAUCUUUAACUUCAUACAAAUUUUGUGAAAAGCUGAUUGAAAUAAAAAGUAUCUAAAA